GCCUGGCUGGCUCAGUCAAUAGGAGCCUAAGACUCUUGAUCUCAAGGUUGUGAGUUCAAGCCCCAUGUUGGGUG
rnacentral:tRNA from 1 species